ACAAAGGUUCGUGUUCACUUAACCCCUACCAGUUUGGGAAAAUUUUAUCUCAGGUAAUUUUUCUUUGCCUAAAUUAAUAUCUGUACUUCCUUCCUUCCCUCUUGCCUUCAAGUUUCUUCUUUAUUGUCCCAUGAUGUUGUCCUGGUACAUUUUUGUCCCAGAAAAGGCAUGUAAAUUGAUUAUUCUGUAGGAAAUCUUUGGUUCUUUGGAAACAUAUUUGGAGGAGGUGGCUAGUUGGCCACUUUCGAAACUUUAAUGCUGUAUUUAGAGAAGAAUAAAUGGGGUUGGAUGCCUCAGUAAAAGAUAGCACUAGCCAAAAGAAACUAUUUGCUGCAUUUUAAAGGCAUAAUAACAAAAUGAGCCUCUUGCAAUAAGAGAUUGAUUGCAUUUAUUAUUACUGGAUGUCUUCCUUGUUUUGUGGCCAUCAGUAUAGCACAUCUUUAGGAAAAAAAUGUCUCUGCUAUGCCUCGAGCCACUGCUAUGGCUGCUUUUAGAACAAAACCAGAAAUACAGUUUUUCUCAUCCUUCUCCCUGUUUUCAUUGAAACAGGUAUUGCCUUCUUUUUAAAGGUACUCUGGCUGCUAAAUAAAAGAGUGCUGAGCUAUGUUAAAUUAGCCUUUAAAAAAAAUCUGAAUUAUUAUUUAACUUC
rnacentral:lncRNA from 1 species